AGAGUUUGAUCAUGGCUCAGAUUGAACGCUGGCGGUAGGUUUUAUCCAUGCAAGUCGAGCGGUAACAGACAUUUUGAUUCAGCUUGCUGAAUCUUGUGCUGACGAGCGGCGAACUGGUGAGUAACGCGUAGGAAUCUACCCAGUAGCGGGGGAUAGCCCGAGGAAACUCGGAUUAAUACCGCAUACGCCCUAAGGGGGAAAGGGGGCAUCUUUGGUGCUCUCACUAUUGGAUGAGCCUGCGUAAGAUUAGCUUGUUGGUAGGGUAAUGGCCUACCAAGGCAACGAUCUUUAGCUGGUCUGAGAGGACGAUCAGCCACAUUGGGACUGAGAUACGGCCCAGACGUCUACGGACGGCAGCAGGAAAGAAUAUUGGACAAUGAGGGAAACCUUGAUCCAGCCAUACCGCGUGUGUGAAGAAGGCCUUAGGGUUGUAAAGCACUUUAAGCGAGGAAGAAGGAAAGUAAAUUAAUACCUUACUUUUUUGACGUUAAUCGCAGAAUAAGUACCGGCUAACUCCGUGCCAGCAGCCGCGGUAAUACGGAGGGUACAAGCGUUAAUCGGAAUUACUGGGCGUAAAGCGCGCGUAGGCGG
rnacentral:rRNA from 1 species